rnacentral:rRNA from 1 species
GACGGGGGGGGCAAGUGUUCUUCGGAAUGACUGGGCGUAAAGGGCACGUAGGCGGUGAAUCGGGAUUGAAAGUGAAAGUCGCCAAAAAGUGGCGGAAUGCUCUCGAAACCAAUUCACUUGAGUGAGACAGAGGAGAGUGGAAUUUCGUGUGUAGGGGUGAAAUCGUAGUCUACGAAGGAACGCCAAAAGCGAAGGCAGCUCUCUGGGUCCCUACC